GAUGAACGCUGGCGGCGUGCCUAAUACAUGCAAGUCGAGCGAACGGACGAGAAGCUUGCUUCUCUGAUGUUAGCGGCGGACGGGUGAGUAACACGUGGAUAACCUACCUAUAAGACUGGGAUAACUUCGGGAAACCGGAGCUAAUACCGGAUAAUAUUUUGAACCGCAUGGUUCAAAAGUGAAAGACGGUCUUGCUGUCACUUAUAGAUGGAUCCGCGCUGCAUUAGCUAGUUGGUAAGGUAACGGCUUCCCAAGGCAACGAUGCAUAGCCGACCUGAGAGGGUGAUCGGCCACACUGGAACUGAGACACGGUCCAGACUCCUACGGGAGGCAGCAGUAGGGAAUCUUCCGCGAUGGGCGAAAGCUUGACGGAGCAACGCCGCGUGAGUGAUGAAGGUCUUCGGAUCGUAAAACUCUGUUAUUAGGGAAGAACAUAUGUGUAAGUAACUGUGCACAUCUUGACGGUACCUAAUCAGAAAGCCACGGCUAACUACGUG
rnacentral:rRNA from 1 species